rnacentral:rRNA from 1 species
AGAGUUUGAUCCUGGCUCAGAGUGAACGCUGGCGGCGUGCCUAAUACAUGCAAGUCGAACGAUGAAGCUUCUAGCUUGCUAGAGUGCUGAUUAGUGGCGCACGGGUGAGUAACGCAUAGGUCAUGUGCCUCUUAGUUUGGGAUAGCCAUUGGAAACGAUGAUUAAUACCAGAUACUCCCUACGGGGGAAAGAUUUAUCGCUAAGAGAUCAGCCUAUGUCCUAUCAGCUUGUUGGUAAGGUAAUGGCUUACCAAGGCUAUGACGGGUAUCCGGCCUGAGAGGGUGAACGGACACACUGGAACUGAGACACGGUCCAGACUCCUACGGGAGGCAGCAGUAGGGAAUAUUGCUCAAUGGGGGAAACCCUGAAGCAGCAACGCCGCGUGGAGGAUGAAGGUUUUAGGAUUGUAAACUCCUUUUGUUAGAGAAGAUAAUGACGGUAUCUAACGAAUAAGCACCGGCUAACUCCGUGCCAGCAGCCGCGGUAAUACGGAGGGUGCAAGCGUUACUCGGAAUCACUGGGCGUAAAGAGCGCGUAGGCGGGAUAGUCAGUCAGGUGUGAAAUCCUAUGGCUUAACCAUAGAACUGCAUUUGAAACUACUAUUCUAGAGUGUGGGAGAGGUAGGUGGAAUUCUUGGUGUAGGGGUAAAAUCCGUAGAGAUCAAGAGGAAUACUCAUUGCGAAGGCGACCUGCUGGAACAUUACUGACGCCUGAUUGCGCGAAAGCGUGGGGAGCAAACAGGAUUAGAUACCCUGGUAGUCCACGCCCUAAACGAUGGAUGCUAGUUGUUGGAGGGCUUAGUCUCUCCAGUAAUGCAGCUAACGCAUUAAGCAUCCCGCCUGGGGAGUACGGUCGCAAGAUUAAAACUCAAAGGAAUAGACGGGGACCCGCACAAGCGGUGGAGCAUGUGGUUUAAUUCGAAGAUACACGAAGAACCUUACCUAGGCUUGACAUUGAGAGAAUCCGCUAGAAAUAGUGGAGUGUCUAGCUUGCUAGACCUUGAAAACAGGUGCUGCACGGCUGUCGUCAGCUCGUGUCGUGAGAUGUUGGGUUAAGUCCCGCAACGAGCGCAACCCCCUUUCUUAGUUGCUAACAGGUCAUGCUGAGAACUCUAAGGAUACUGCCUCCGUAAGGAGGAGGAAGGUGGGGACGACGUCAAGUCAUCAUGGCCCUUACGCCUAGGGCUACACACGUGCUACAAUGGGGUGCACAAAGAGAAGCAAUACUGCGAAGUGGAGCCAAUCUUCAAAACGCCUCUCAGUUCGGAUUGUAGGCUGCAACUCGCCUGCAUGAAGCUGGAAUCGCUAGUAAUCGCAAAUCAGCCAUGUUGCGGCGAAUACGUUCCCGGGUCUUGUACUCACCGCCCGUCACACCAUGGGAGUUGUGUUUGCCUUAAGUCAGGAUGCUAAACCAGCUACUGCCCACGGCACACACAGCGACUGGGGUGAAGUCGUAACAAGGUAACCGUAGGUGAACCUGCGGUUG